rnacentral:rRNA from 1 species
UAAGACUGGGAUAACUCCGGGAAACCGGGACUAAUACCGGAUGCUUGAUUGAACCGCAUGGUUCAAUUCUAAAAGGUGGCUUUUAACUUCCACUUACAGAUGGACCCGCGGCGCAUUAGCUAGUUGGUGAGGUAACGGCUCACCAAGGCGACGAUGCGUAGCCGACCUGAGGAGGGUGAUCGGCCACACUGGGACUGAGACACGGCAACAAACUCAUACGGGAGGCAGCUGUAGGGAAACUUCCGCAAUGGACGAAAGUCUGACGGAGCAACGCCGCGUGAGUGAUGAAGGUUUUCGGAUCGUAAAACUCUGUUGUUAGGGAAGAACAAGUUCCGUUCGAAUAGGGCGGUACCUUGACGGUUCCUAACCAGAAAGCCACGGCUAACCACGUGCCAGCAGCCGCGGUCAUACGUAUGUGGCAAGCGUUGUCCGGUAUUAUUGGGCGUAAAGCGCGCGCAGGCUGUUUCUUUAGUCUGAUGUGAAAGCCCCCGGCUCAAGCGGGGAGGGUCAUUGG